AAAUGUUCAUUGGUUCUCUUCUGAUAAGAAUACAUGUAGAAAAGGUGAAGUGAAAUACUGACUAUUCAGUCUCACCGUCUGGCUAGAAGGUUACUCUGCACAUAAAAGAAAGAUGCAGCUGACAAAUCUACUGAUCUCAAUUCUUGUCUCAUUUGCAACUCUCCAACAGAUAAAAUGCAUGAUGAAAGAAGAAUGUGAUGAACCUAAACCAAUACUCUUAGAUCUGGCUGAAGAUUCCCUACGUGAUCAGUACAAAGACUGCACCGCAGAAAUGUCAAAGAAAGUUUAUAACAACUAUCUUAAGUCUGAGCUUAAUACAGAGCCUUUCAAAAGCACCUGGAAUGAAGCUACAAAAUUAUGUAAAAACAAAGGUCUUUUCGGUUCAGAUAAUUUAGAAAAAGAACACGUCAUAGCAAUCUAUGCUUAUACAAUGGGAGGGGUUAAAGGCCAAAAGAAACUCAAUAGAGUCUUCAAUUAUCAAACGAAGACUGGAGGCAGGGACUAUGAAACAUUUCCCUUCAAGUCCCUCCAUUUCUUCCUAACAGAAGCUGUGCGUAUUCUCAAAGGAAAAGAUGAAGAAAAGUGUCGUACAGUGUUUAGGGGAACUAUUUGUGAGUUUAAGGUCCAGGAGAAUACUCCUGUACGAUUUGGACAGUUUACAUCUACCUCUUUGAAUAAGGACAUUGCAAAGACAUUUGGGACAGGUACAUUAUUUGAAAUAGAGACCUGUGAUGGUGCAUAUAUUAACAAGUACAGUCAUUUCAUUGGGCAAAACCAAGAAGAGGUUCUAAUCCCACCAUAUGAGACAUUUAAGGUUGUGUCCAAGGAAGGAAACGUGAUUCAACUGAAACACAUGGACUAUGCAAAUGACCAAAACUGUUUAGCAUGUAAGAACAGAGCUUUAUCCUGCUAUAUUUUUUACGCAUAAAGAACCCAUCCAUUUUACUAAACUGCACAUCCAAACCCCUUCGUUCUUGGUUUUCAUUUUCCAUCUCUCGCCCUCCCUUUAAAAUGUAAUUAAUCCCACUGUUAUAAUCCAGGCUAUGCCAUUGCCUUCUUUGGUGGGGAGUUCCCAGGGGCCGGUGCACUCUAUGAAGUGCAGGCUCCAGUUAGAACCUUGUUUUAUUAUUACUACACUCUAUGAAGUGCAGGCUCCAUUAGAACCUUGUUUUAUUGCUACUACACUCUAUGAAGUGCAGGCUCCAGUUAGAACCUUGUUUUAUUGUUACUACACUCUAUGAAGUGCAGGCUCCAGUUAGAACCUUGUUUUAUUGUUACUACACUCUAUGAAGUGCAGGCUCCAGUUAGAACCUUGUUUUAUUGCUACUACACUCUAUGAAGUGCAGGCUCCAGUUAGAACCUUGUUUUAUUAUUACUACACUCUAUGAAGUGCAGGCUCCAGUUAGAACCUUGUUUUGCCACUGUGGCAUUGGAACCUUUUUAAGUGCUUCGAAGAACCUUAUUUAUGUUGUUGUUAUGAUGUAAGCUGCUAUGAAACAUCAUGUACUGAAAACUGGAGCUAACAAAACAAUAUUAUAAAAAAACAAUUUACAAACUAGAUCUGAAGAAGGGUUCUUAAAUGAGCCCCUUUGCAAUAUUGUAUCAAACCAACGAGGAAUGAAAGCAGGUUCCCAAACAAACCCUUACUGGUGGGUCCGGAUAAGAGGAUUAGAACACUAAAAUUGCUGUUUAUUUAUUUAUUUUAUCUCAGUAAGGGUUCGCUUGGGAACCUCUCAUUCCUCCGUCUGCAAUAAAGAAUAUAGAAUCCAAAACAAGGUUCUAACUUCUUAGAGUGUAUUCAUUGCAUUUAAAUGAGCAGAAACUGUGCAUGCGUUUAUUCAUAUACAUGGUAAAACCACAGAACGUGUGACACGUUUAAUAUCUAAACGGCAUGAUGUGUGUGUACAGUACAAUAGUAGUGUUCUAUUCCUAAACAGCAGUGUUUAUACGUAAUUAGUUAUAAACACUGGUGUUUGGAACGAUAAACAAUUGUCGAACGUUAUGAGUUUAAACUGUGACAUUUUUGCUUUUGUUUAUUUUUUAUUUGUAAACACUAGCCCUGUUAUAAACGUGUACAAAGACAUCUUGCUAUUUCCUCAUUUGUUGCGUGUGUUUUUUUAAAUACCUAUAUUCUUUAUUUUUCCCCCUUGGUAUUUGGUAGGAUAAACAGUGACACAAAAGACAACUGGUUGGCUCGGUUCACCUAAGCUUUUUCUCCCCAGGUGGUGACGGCGCUGAAUGGGAGAGGCUGCCCUGACUUUCCUGCCCUUUGUCUGCCCAUUCUUGCUUUCUUUUAGCUUUGAUUUUGAACCUAGCAUAUAAUAUAAACCGCUGUUAGUUAGCAAAGAAAAUACAUGUACAAACAAGCAAACAUUUAGCAUUCAUUAUUUUGUGUUUAAAUAAACUAUGUUGGGUAAGGUUUAAACCAUA